rnacentral:sRNA from 1 species
CGAUGCUGCUGAUCGCUCAUUACUAUGCCACGCGCUCUGCAGCCCAGAGUGUCAAACAGCUGGAAACCGUGGCUGCCAGGCUUUCUGUUUCACUCUUGCGUCACACCCAGCUACUACCUGUAGACAAAGCCUUCUAUGAAGCAGGCAUUGCUGCCAAGGUGAGCUGGGACAAGGAAGGGUGGGGCAGAUAGGAGGAAGUUAAAGGUUGGAAAAUAGAAUAUCCCUUCUGCUCUGGUAGAGGAAAGCUGAGUGUAGGGCUGAUGUUACGGAGGAUGUAGUCCUCCUAUGUCUUCCUGGAUUUUUCUCCCUGGAUCCCAGAGAAAUAGCAUUCAAGCCCAGCUUGCUCACUCCCAUUUGCAUCUGGAUCCCAGAGAAGUAGCAUUCAAACCCAGCUUGUUCACUCCCAUUUGCAACUCUUCUCUGCUGCAGGCAGUUGGCUGGGAUAACAUGGCAUUCAUCUUCCUCAAUCGCUUUUUG